rnacentral:rRNA from 1 species
UACGAAGGGGGCUAGCGUUGUUCGGAAUUAUUGGGCGUAAAGAGCUUGUAGGCGGUUUGUCGCGUCUGCCGUGAAAAUUCGAGGCUCAACCUCGAACUUGCGGUGGGUACGGGCAGACUAGAGUGUGGUAGGGGAGACUGGAAUUCCUGGUGUAGCGGUGAAAUGCGCAGAUAUCAGGAGGAACACCGGUGGCGAAGGCGGGUCUCUGGGCCGAUACUGACGCUGAGGAGCGAAAGCGUGGGGAGCGAACAGG